AUAGCUUGACACUGAACAUUGAGCCUUGAUGUGUAGGAUAGGUGGGAGGCUUUGAAGCGUGGACGCCAGUCUGCGUGGAGCCGACCUUGAAAUACCACCCUUUAAUGUUUGAUGUUCUAACGUGGAUCCGUAAUCCGGGUUGCGGACAGUGUCUGGUGGGUAGUUUGACUGGGGCGGUCUCCUCCUAAAGAGUAACGGAGGAGCACGAAGGUUGGCUAAUCCUGGUCGGACAUCAGGAGGUUAGUGCAAUGGCAUAAGCCAGCUUGACUGCGAGCGUGACGGCGCGAGCAGGUGCGAAAGCAGGUCAUAGUGAUCCGGUGGUUCUGAAUGGAAGGGCCAUCGCUCAACGGAUAAAAGGUACUCCGGGGAUAACAGGCUGAUACCGCCCAAGAGUUCAUAUCGACGGCGGUGUUUGGCACCUCGAUGUCGGCUCAUCACAUCCUGGGGCUGAAGUAGGUCCCAAGGGUAUGGCUGUUCGCCAUUUAAAGUGGUACGCGAGCUGGGUUUAGAACGUCGUGAGACAGUUCGGUCCCUAUCUGCCGUGGGCGCUGGAGAACUGAGGGGGGCUGCUCCUAGUACGAGAGGACCGGAGUGGACGCAUCACUGGUGUUCGGGUUGUCAUGCCAAUGGCACUGCCCGGUAGCUAAAUGCGGAAGAGAUAAGUGCUGAAAGCAUCUAAGCACGAAACUUGCCCCGAG
rnacentral:rRNA from 1 species